AGCAGCCGCGGUAAUUCCAGCUCCAAUAGCGUAUAUUAAAGUUGUUGCAGUUAAAAAGCUCGUAGUUGAAUUUCGGGAUCAAAUUGUCGGUCGUGCCUCGGUACGUACUGGCGUUAUUGGUUCCUCCCUUCUGAAGAACCGCGAUGUCAUUAAUUUGGUGUCGCGGGAAAUCAGGACUGUUACUUUAAAAAAAUUGAGUGUUUAAAGCAGGCUCGCGCUUGAAUACAUUAGCAUGGAAUAAUGAAAUAGGACGUUUGAUUCUAUUUUGUUGGUUUCUAGGAUCGACGUAAUGAUUAAUAGGGAUAGUUGGGGGCAUUAGUAUUCAGUUGUCAGAGGUGAAAUUCUUGGAUUUAUUGAAGACUAACUACUGCGAAAGCAUUUGCCAAGGAUGUUUUCAUUAAUCAAGAACGAAGUUAGGGGAAUCGAAGACGAUCAGAUACCGUCGUAGUCUUAACCAUAAACUAUGCCGACUAGGGAUCGGGAUGAUGUUAAUUUUUAAUGUACUCAUUCGGCGCCUUAC
rnacentral:rRNA from 1 species